UUGUCACACUCCUACGGGAGGCAGCAUGGGGAAUAUUGCACAAUGGGGGAAACCCUGAUGCAGCCAUGCCGCGUGUGUGAAGAAGGCCUUCGGGUUGUAAAGCACUUUCAGUAGGGAGGAAGGUAGUGUAGUUAACACCUGCAUUAUUUGACGUUACCUACAGAAGAAGCACCGGCUAACUCCGUGCCAGCAGCCGCGGUAAUACGGAGGGUGCGAGCGUUAAUCGGAAUUACUGGGCGUAAAGCGCAUGCAGGCGGCCUGUUAAGUCAGAUGUGAAAGCCCCGGGGCUUAACCUCGGAAUUGCAUUUGAAACUGGCAGGCUAGAGUCUUGUAGAGGGGGUAGAAUUUCAGGUGUAGCGGUGAAAUGCGUAGAGAUCUGAAGGAAUACCAGUGGCGAAGGCGGCCCCCUGGACAAAGACUGACGCUCAGAUGCGAAAGCGUGGGGAGCAAACAGGGUUAGAUACCCUGGUAG
rnacentral:rRNA from 1 species